UCUGGUGUUGAAGGCCCUGCAAAGCAGCAUCGCGGUGGCGGAGCGUCGUUUGCGACGCCCAACACACAAAACAAGCGGUGAGUGCUUUGGGGUGGGGUGACUGCGUACCUUUUGUAUAAUGGGUCAGCGACUUAUAUUCUGUAGCAAGGUUAACCGUAUAGGGGAGCCGAAGGGAAACCGAGUCUUAACUGGGCGUUAAGUUGCAGGGUAUAGACCCGAAACCCGGUGAUCUAGCCAUGGGCAGGUUGAAGGUUGGGUAACACUAACUGGAGGACCGAACCGACUAAUGUUGAAAAAUUAGCGGAUGACUUGUGGCUGGGGGUGAAAGGCCAAUCAAACCGGGAGAUAGCUGGUUCUCCCCGAAAGCUAUUUAGGUAGCGCCUCGUGAACUCAUCUUCGGGGGUAGAGCACUGUUUCGGCUAGGGGGUCAUCCCGACUUACCAACCCGAUGCAAACUGCGAAUACCGAAGAAUGUUAUCACGGGAGACACACGGCGGGUGCUAACGUCCGUCGUGAAGAGGGAAACAACCCAGACCGCCAGCUAAGGUCCCAAAGUCACAGUUAAGUGGGAAACGAUGUGGGAAGGCUCAGACAGCCAGGAUGUUGGCUUAGAAGCAGCCAUCAUUUAAAGAAAGCGUAAUAGCUCACUGGUCGAGUCGGCCUGCGCGGAAGAUGUAACGGGGCUAAACUGUGCACCGAAGCUGCGGCAGCGACGCUUAUGCGUUGUUGGGUAGGGGAGCGUUCUGUAAGCCUGCGAAGGUGUCCUGUGAGGGAUGCUGGAGGUAUCAGAAGUGCGAAUGCUGACAUAAGUAACGAUAAUGCGGGUGAAAAGCCCGCUCGCCGGAAGACCAAGGGUUCCUGUCCAACGUUAAUCGGGGCAGGGUGAGUCGACCCCUAAGGCGAGGCCGAAAGGCGUAGUCGAUGGGAAACGGGUUAAUAUUCCCGUACUUGGUGUUACUGCGAAGGGGGGACGGAGAAGGCUAUGUUGGCCGGGCGACGGUUGUCCCGGUUUAAGCGUGUAGGCUGGUUUUCCAGGCAAAUCCGGAAAAUCAAGGCUGAGGCGUGAUGACGAGGCACUACGGUGCUGAAGCAACAAAUGCCCUGCUUCCAGGAAAAGCCUCUAAGCAUCAGGUAACAUCAAAUCGUACCCCAAACCGACACAGGUGGUCAGGUAGAGAAUACCAAGGCGCUUGAGAGAACUCGGGUGAAGGAACUAGGCAAAAUGGUGCCGUAACUUCGGGAGAAGGCACGCUGACACGUAGGUGAAGU
rnacentral:rRNA from 1 species